AUCGCUUCUCGGCCUUUUGGCUAAGAUCAAGUGUAGUCCUGUCUAGAUUAUUGUUAUUAGUUCGUUUGAAGGAAUCGAGAAAUACGAUAUUUAACUAUGAGGUACUUCGCAACCCUGGGAAGCUUGUUGUGAGUGGGGCUAAAUUUU
rnacentral:snRNA from 1 species